UGGGGAAUCUUGCACAAUGGGCGAAAGCCUGAUGCAGCAACGCCGCGUGCGGGAAGAAGGCCCUCGGGUUGUAAACCGCUUUCAGAAGGAACGAAACUGACGGUACUUUCAGAAGAAGGUGCGGCCAACUACGUGCCAGCAGCCGCGGUGACACGUAGGCACCAAGCGUUGUCCGGAUUUAUUGGGCGUAAAGAGCUCGUAGGCGGUUCAGUAAGUCGGGUGUGAAAACUUUGGGCUUAACCCAAAGCGUGCAUCCGAUACUGCUGUGACUUGAGUACGGUAGGGGAGCGGGGAAUUCCUAGUGUAGCGGUGAAAUGCGCAGAUAUUAGGAAGAACACCGGUGGCGAAGGCGGACUCACUGGAUCGGUACUGACGCUGAGGUGCGAAAGCGUGGGAGCAAACAGGAUUAGAUACCCCAGUAGUCCCUGAGCGGGCUGGCAAGGCG
rnacentral:rRNA from 1 species